AAUUAAUGAGCUUGCUAAAGCUUUUGUUUUGAAAACUUAAGAAAGAAAAUUCUUUUUCUAUUAAUUU
rnacentral:tRNA from 1 species